rnacentral:rRNA from 1 species
GAUGAACGCUGGCGGCGUGCCUAAUACAUGCAAGUCGAGCGAACGGACGAGAAGCUUGCUUCUCUGAUGUUAGCGGCGGACGGGUGAGUAACACGUGGAUAACCUACCUAUAAGACUGGGAUAACUUCGGGAAACCGGAGCUAAUACCGGAUAAUAUUUUGAACCGCAUGGUUCAAAAGUGAAAGACGGUCUUGCUGUCACUUAUAGAUGGAUCCGCGCUGCAUUAGCUAGUUGGUAAGGUAACGGCUUACCAAGGCAACGAUGCAUAGCCGACCUGAGAGGGUGAUCGGCCACACUGGAACUGAGACACGGUCCAGACUCCUACGGGAGGCAGCAGUAGGGAAUCUUCCGCAAUGGGCGAAAGCCUGACGGAGCAACGCCGCGUGAGUGAUGAAGGUCUUCGGAUCGUAAAACUCUGUUAUUAGGGAAGAACAUAUGUGUAAGUAACUGUGCACAUCUUGACGGUACCUAAUCAGAAAGCCACGGCUAACUAUGUGCCAGCAGCCGCGGUAAUACGUAGGUGGCAAGCGUUAUCCGGAAUUAUUGGGCGUAAAGCGCGCGUAGGCGGUUUUUUAAGUCUGAUGUGAAAGCCCACGGCUCAACCGUGGAGGGUCAUUGGAAACUGGAAAACUUGAGUGCAGAAGAGGAAAGUGGAAUUCCAUGUGUAGCGGUGAAAUGCGCAGAGAUAUGGAGGAACACCAGUGGCGAAGGCGACUUUCUGGUCUGUAACUGACGCUGAUGUGCGAAAGCGUGGGGAUCAAACAGGAUUAGAUACCCUGGUAGUCCACGCCGUAAACGAUGAGUGCUAAGUGUUAGGGGGUUUCCGCCCCUUAGUGCUGCAGCUAACGCAUUAAGCACUCCGCCUGGGGAGUACGACCGCAAGGUUGAAACUCAAAGGAAUUGACGGGGACCCGCACAAGCGGUGGAGCAUGUGGUUUAAUUCGAAGCAACGCGAAGAACCUUACCAAAUCUUGACAUCCUUUGACAACUCUAGAGAUAGAGCCUUCCCCUUCGGGGGACAAAGUGACAGGUGGUGCAUGGUUGUCGUCAGCUCGUGUCGUGAGAUGUUGGGUUAAGUCCCGCAACGAGCGCAACCCUUAAGCUUAGUUGCCAUCAUUAAGUUGGGCACUCUAAGUUGACUGCCGGUGACAAACCGGAGGAAGGUGGGGAUGACGUCAAAUCAUCAUGCCCCUUAUGAUUUGGGCUACACACGUGCUACAAUGGACAAUACAAAGGGCAGCGAAACCGCGAGGUCAAGCAAAUCCCAUAAAGUUGUUCUCAGUUCGGAUUGUAGUCUGCAACUCGACUACAUGAAGCUGGAAUCGCUAGUAAUCGUAGAUCAGCAUGCUACGGUGAAUACGUUCCCGGGUCU